ACGCUCGACACCUACGGUAGGCAGCAGUCGGGAAUAUUGCGCAAUGGAGGAAACUCUGACGCAGUGACGCCGCGUAUAGGAAGAAGGUUUUCGGAUUGUAAACUAUUGUCGUUAGGGAAGAUACAAGACAGUACCUAAGGAGGAAGCACCGGCUAACUAUGUGCCUGCAGCCGCGGUAAUCUGAGCGGGCUGGCAAGGC
rnacentral:rRNA from 1 species